rnacentral:rRNA from 1 species
GUGGAGCAUGUGGCUUAAUUUGACUCAACGCGGGAAAUCUUACCGGGUCCGGACACACUGAGGAUUGACAGGCGAUAUCAACUCUCUCUCUUUUAAUUUAAUUAUUAAAAAGUAGAGGUGUUGUGUUAAAUAUGCUAGUCCUUUCAUGAUUAUGUGAUAGGUGGUGCAUGGCCGUUCUUAGUUCGUGGAGUGAUCUGUCUGCUUAAUUGCGUUUCACUAAGGGCCUAUAUCAUUACAAGCAUGUCUAUGCAAUUCUAGCGCAUUGACCCCUCAUCACAUUCAAAACUUCAAUUAUUUGAUUGUUUUAUUUGUGAUGUUUGCGCGUGUCUUUGACUAACGCUGUUUGCUUUUCAUGUGUUUUAGGUCCUGAAAGCAACGAACGUGACCGCAACCUCUUGUUGCCACAUUCAAACUCUUUCAUCAUCACAUCAUCGAAGCUAAUUCGUUUUGUGAGAAAAGUCAGGUGGCUUUUUUUUUAAACUAGAGGGACCGCUGGUAUCUUCUUAAACCAGAGGAAGGUUGCGGCAAUAACAGGUCUGUGAUGCCCUAGAUGUCCGGCUGCACACGUGCUACAAUGAUCAUUGCAGUGAGCAUCUCAAAUUACUUAUCAUACAUCGCUAGCGCGAGUCCGUUAUUCUGUUCAUGCCUGUAGUCUCAUACGGCUGUUGGCUGCAGCUUUAAACGUGUAUCUCUGCGCGCGAUCCAGCCUGCUUUGAAAGUUUAGUGGGUAAUCAAUUAGAAGUAAUGAUUUCCAAGUUAUAGCACACUGAUAUACGGCAUCCUUACCCAGCUAGCCUUUUGUGCUAGUCUUUUGUGCGUAGAGAUGAAUCCAACAUUCUAGUAAUUUCUCAUACUCCCUCUCUCUUUGUGAGAGUUGUGAUAAUGAAUUUGCUUUGAAUGGUUCGUAUGUGCAAUUGUCAAUUCAUGGUGGGGACAGACCAUUGUUAAUUGUUGGUCUCGGUCUUAACUAGGAAUGCCUUGUACGGGUCUUUGGUUCAACAAACCACCCGGAAUACGUCCCUGCCCUUUGUACACACCGCCCGUCGCUCUUACCGAUGGACUUCUCUGUGAGUUUGAGGGACUGGGUAUUCAUGAUAAUCAAUUAUUCAUUCGUGAAUAAUUACAUGACCUAUGGAAACUUAAACGAACAGUGUGGUCUAAAG